UUGAGAGAUGCUUUCUGUCAUUGUCAUAGAUCUUGAAAUUUUAAAAUGAAGUGAAAAUUUUCAAAUUUGGCAUAUUGAUGUACUUUUUCACACUGAAUUCAUCCGAGUCAGUGAUUCAUUUAUUCCAGAAAAAUUUUAGGAAAAUCUUACAGAGGUUUAGAGUUUAAUCAUUUUAAUCCAAUCAGAAAACAGGAUUUGUGCGUAAUAGCUGUGAUAAAAUGAAAGUAAACAUUGGAAGACGAAGCUUUAAACAAAAUGAAAACAAUGCGUGAGAGAUAAUACAUAUAUACAGACAGGAAGAGAGAGAAAGAGAGAGAGAGAGAGAGAGAGAGAGAGAGAGAGAGAGAGAGAGAGAGAGAGAGAGAGAGAGAGAGAGAGAGAGAGAGAGAGAGAGAGAGAGAGAGAGAGAGAGAGAGAGAGAGAAGGAGAGAGAGAAAGAGAGAAGGAGAGAGAAAUGAAAAGUGUGGUAACUAAGAUAGAAAGAAAGAGAUUGAUGGGAGAGCUGUCGGACUACAAGUUAUUUCUCUUAGAAAAUUAUAUAUUUCUAUUUACGGAUGACUUCUUUGGGAUGCAAAUUUCGAAAAUCAAAUUAGUUUUUCUCGAGGACGCACCGUUUCAGAGCCUUUCGGGCCUAAACACACAUACAUAACCACAUACGCUCGCAUUUGUAUAGUAGAUAUAGACUACUAAUCAUUACUAAUAUUCUGAAUAUAAACAUGAAUAUAAAUAUGAAAAAAAAAAAAAAAAAUUUAAGUAAUUUUGAACAGCGUGAAAAGAUCAAGGUCAUGAAAACUUUCCCCUUCCUUCUCCUCACCAUCCCAGUUCUCACCUCCGAGAAACAUUGUUUCAUUGCCACAGAUUUUGGGGUCAGAAAUGUUUUUGGUUUCAUCGACUCCAGUGCUUAUUUUACGAUCCAGUUUGAGAAGAAAGAUAAAGUCGACCCGAGCCUAAUUUGAACUUAGAACAUAACGGAACCUACCUAACUACAGCAGGAUAAUUCCACCGGCUGAAUCAUUAUAGAAAAUUAGCCACACUCCUCUCGCAGAGAAUAAAAGAGUCUGGUAGGAAUUCAACAGUCAUGAAGCAGAGUGUACAAGACGUUACCAAGGUCAUCUUUUUGAACAACUCAUCUUUAUCAAGACGUACUGUAAGCGUGGAAAAGCAUUCAGUUGGACAAUUACGAGUAAUGCAUUCGUCCAGCAAAUUGACGAAUCCGUUCUAAGGGAUAUAAUAAAAGUUAUCUUAUGGUGUAUGUUAUGUAUAAGAAAUAAUAAAGCUUACAACUGGCAGCAAGAUAGAAUAAAUUUUAAAGAAAUUGAAA